rnacentral:rRNA from 1 species
UACGAGGGGUGCAAGCGUUGCUCGGAAUUAUUGGGCGUAAAGGGUAGGUAGGUGGUCUCAUUUGUCUGGGGUGAAAGCCUUGAGCUUAACUCAAGAAGUGCCCCGGAAACGGUGAGACUCGAGUCUUGGAGAGGGUCGUGGAAUUCCCGGUGUAGCGGUGAAAUGCGUAGAGAUCGGGAGGAACACCAGAGGCGAAGGCGGCGACCUGGACAAGCACUGACACUCAACUACGAAAGCGUGGGGAGCAAACAGG